rnacentral:rRNA from 1 species
UACGAAGGGGGGCUAGCGUUGCUCGGAAUGACUGGGCGUAAAGGGCGCGUAGGCGGUUUGUACAGUCAGGUGGUGAAAAUUCCCCGGGCUCAAACCUGGGGGCUGCACUUGAUACGUAUGGACUUGAGUGGGGAAGAGGGUCGUGGAAUUCCCAGUGUAGAGGUGAAAUUCGUAGAUAUUGGGAAGAACACCGGUGGCGAAGGCGGCGACCUGGUCCGUUACUGACGCUGAGGCGCGACAGCGUGGGGAGCGAACGAGG